rfam:Felis catus isolate Cinnamon breed Abyssinian chromosome B3, whole genome shotgun sequence.
GCCUGGGUGGCUCAGUCGGUUGAGCGUCCGACUUCAGCUCAGGUCAUGAUCUCGCGGUCCGUGAGUUCGAGCCCCGCGUCAGGCU